rnacentral:rRNA from 1 species
UACGGAGGGUGCAAGCGUUAUCCGGAUUUACUGGGCUUAAAGGGUCCGUAGGCGGAUCUGUAAGUCAGUGGUGAAAUCUCACAGCUUAACUGUGAAACUGCCAUUGAUACUGCAGGUCUUGAGUAAAGUAGAAGUGGCUGGAAUAAGUAGUGUAGCGGUGAAAUGCAUAGAUAUUACUUAGAACACCAAUUGCGAAGGCAGGUCACUAUGUUUUAACUGACGCUGAUGGACGAAAGCGUGGGGAGCGAACAGG